rnacentral:rRNA from 1 species
GAUUAACGCUGGCGGCGUGCAUAACACAUGCAAGUCGAACGAUGAAACUUAGUAGACUUCUUCGGAAAGACACUAAGCGGCUUAGUGGCGAACGGGUGAGUAACGCGUGAGUAACCUGCCUUACACAAGGGGAUAGCCUUUGGAAACGAAGAAUAAUACCCUAUAAAACCAUAAAAGCACAUGCUAGAAUGGUCAAAGUGAUAGCGGUGUAAGAUGGACUUGCGUCUGAUUAGCUAGUUGGUGAGAUAAAAGCUCACCAAGGCAACGAUCAGUAGCCGGCUUGAGAGAGUGGACGGGCACAUUGGGACUGAGACACGGCCCAGACUCCUACGGGAGGCAGCAGUGGGGAAGUUUGCACAAUGGGGGAAACCCUGAUGCAGCGACGCCGCGUGAUUUAGAAGGCCUUCGGGUUGUAAAAAUCUUUUGUAUAGGAAGAAAAUGACAGUACUAUACGAAUAAGGUCCGGCUAAUUACGUG